GCUCACUUUAUCAGAACACAUAUUACUACUGAACAGUACAGAAAAUAUUAGCAUGGCCCCUGUGUAAGGAGGGCACACAAAAUCAUAUAACAUUUCACUUUUCU